GCUAAUGUCACAGCUCCAGAGAAGUCCUCCUUAAGCCCUUGAGAUCAGUUGUUCCCUAUCACAUCAGCUUAAAAAAAUGCCCUACUCCUCUAGGAUUCUUAUUUGUUUAUCAUUUAUUUCCUCUAGUAGAAUGAGCUCUCGUGGGCAUGACCACGUCUAUCUCGUUUGCUGCUGUACUGAGUGACAUCUGGGUGCUUGUGUGCUCAGUCGCUCCAGUCGUGUCUGACUCUGCCACCCGGGGACUCCAGCCUGCCAGGCUCCUCAGCCCAGGGGAUUCUCCAGGCAAGGAUACUGGAGUGGGUUGCCAUGCCCUCCUUGAUAAACAUUUGUGAACGAAUGAAUGAGUGAAGAAAUGGAUGGACACAGAGCCUUGGAAUCCACGACUCUCGGGGUGAAAGGUACAAGGUGAUGCCACGGGCAACAUUCAUCCGGCCGCUCGUUUACUCAGAAGUCCAUGCUGCUGUGUUAGCUGCCCAGUCCUGUCUGACUCUUUGCGACUCCAUGGACUAUGACCCGCCGGGCUCCUCUGUCCAUGGAAUUCUCCAGGCAAGAAUGCUGGAGUGAGCUGCCAUUUCCUCCUCCAGCGGAUCGUCUGAACCCAGGGAUUGAACCCGGGUCUUCUGCGUUGCAGGCAGACUCUUCACCCUCUGAGCCACCAGGGAAGUCCGGAAUCCACACAGGGUGUUGACUACGUACGUGACUAGUUAUAGAAUGUGGGGGGUGCCCUGUGCAAAAUUAAAUGCAGCGCCUCUUAUUCAAAAGGAAAAAUUUCAAGAUGGUGCCAGCAAGGGAGCGUCUGAACGUGGGGCCCCGUGGGAGGGGCC
ensembl:lncRNA